ACAACAAGUUAACUGCUGUUCCCAGUUAUAUCUGGUCUUUCCCACCCCCAAACAUACACAAAAGAUUUUUGUCAUUCUUGGCACUGGACAACAGAAGUGAUAAGACAUGCCAGCAGAACUCUAAAGGCAGAAUGUCCUUCCACCUGUUUUAUGCUGUAAGACAAACUUCCAAGUGCGAGGCAGUGUGGAGGGCUGUUGCCUUGAAUGGCAGCUGAAUGCACCAGCGGGAUCCUUGGCAGCAAUGCCCAGGCACUGAAGUCGGGCAUUCAGGAGAGCUAAAUGGAGAAAAGAAACUUGAGCAAACUGCUUCCUGGAACACUGAGAACCUGAAUGGGAAAUUAAGAAGAACCAGAUUCUUUCUAUUCUUCCACCAGCCAAGGUGAUGAGCACAAAAGGAUCCAUCUUAUACAGUGCUUGCCAGCUUCCAUAAUACUACUCACCACGAUGUUGAAAUCACCUGUUCCAGAACCAGUCCUGUCCUUUGACAAGAAGGAUUUAAUUAUCAGUAGUGGUGGGGACUGGCUGGAGAGAGGAAAAACACUUCAAGGACUCUGCCACCUUUCGUAGAUGGAGAGUGCAAAGUUUGUACCAUGGAACUCCUUCUCUAACAGUUACUCUGUGGCAGUGCCUAUUUCAAACCUCCCUUAACUUCUGAUUGUAUAGAUGUUUGUUUCAUUUGUUCAUCUGUUUGUUCACUUAGUCAGAGAUGUUUUAAGCCUUAAGAGAAAUAGUGGACUAGAAAAUGCCUUGGAAAAGUACAAAGUUCAAUCCAAGUAAACUGUUUUUAAACUAGGAAUUUAUGAAGCCUAAAAUAUAAAAUGUAUAUACAUGGAUAUGCUCUGAA
rnacentral:lncRNA from 1 species